rnacentral:rRNA from 1 species
UACGAAGGGGGCUAGCGUUGCUCGGAAUCACUGGGCGUAAAGGGUGCGUAGGCGGGGCUUUAAGUCAGGGGUGAAAUCCUGGAGCUCAACUCCAGAACUGCCUUUGAUACUGAGGAUCUUGAGUUCGGGAGAGGUGAGUGGAACUGCGAGUGUAGAGGUGAAAUUCGUAGAUAUUCGCAAGAACACCAGUGGCGAAGGCGGCUCACUGGCCCGAUACUGACGCUGAGGCACGAAAGCGUGGGGAGCAAACCGG